AUUGAACGCUAGCGGCAUGCUUAACACAUGCAAGUCGAGCGAGUGGCGGACGGGUGAGUAAUGUAUGGGGCCUGCCCGAUAGAGGGGGAUAACUACUGGAAACGGUGGCUAAUACCGCAUACUAUCGGAUAACCCAUAUCGGAUUAGCUAGUUGGUGGGGUAAAGGCUCACCAAGGCAACGAUCCCUAGCUGGUCUGAGAGGACGAUCAGCCCAACUGGGACUGAGACACGGCCCAGACUCCUACGGAGGCAGCAGGGGGGAAUUUUGGACAAUGGGAGAAAGCCUGAUCCAGCCAUGCCGGGUGUAUGAUGAAGGCCUUGGGGUGGUAAAGUACUUUGAGCGGGGAAGCGUUAGCUGCAGAAGAAGCACCGGCUAACUACGUGCCAGCAGCCGCGGUAAUAC
rnacentral:rRNA from 1 species